UUGAUUCUCCUUUCGACAUAGCAACUGGAUCUGGAUUGGUUGACACGCUUCACGUUCUCGGCUUGCCAUUGGCUGAGAGUCUGGCCUAAACGCGGAGGAAUCGGACGGAGACAGAGAGGAGGAGUGACAUGAUUGGACGUGGCCGGCGCAGAAUGCCUAAAGCUAAACCUAUUUUCCUGAAAGCCUUGAGGGAGUCGGGGGGCCCAUCUGAGUGGUCCUCGUCAUGGGACCUUUUCACCAGCUCUUUGCUGACACAGUAUGUCCUCCGGUGCCUUCCGUGUCUGCCGAACCAACCCGGGCCAGAGCUUGUUGGAAUACAAUGGCUACCGCUACAUAAAGGUACAAAUGGCCGAAACCUCCUACCCGCAUGUCCAAAUUUGGUCAAUUUCAUAUUUUUACAAAUCUGAACUGCUG